rnacentral:rRNA from 1 species
AUUGAACGCUGGCGGCAGGCCUAACACAUGCAAGUCGAGCGAGCGGCGGACGGGUGAGUAAUGUCUGGGAAACUGCCUGAUGGAGGGGGAUAACGACUGGAAACGGUAGCUAAUACCGCAUACGAUAAGAUUAGCCUCUCUGGGAUUAGCUAUUAGGUGGGGUAAUGGCUCACCUAGGCGACGAUCCCUAGCUGGUCUGAGAGGAUGACCGGCCACACUGGGACUGAGACACGGCCCAGACUCCUACGGGAGGCAGCAGUGGGGAAUAUUGCGCAAUGGGCGCAAGCCUGAUGCAGCCAUGCCGCGUGUGUGAAGAAGGCCUUCGGGUUGUAAAGCACUUUCAGCGAGGAGGCGUUACUCGCAGAAGAAGCACCGGCUAACUCCGUGCCAGCAGCCGCGGUAAUAC